rnacentral:rRNA from 1 species
GCAAGAGAUGAAAAGCGCACUGCUCAGUAACACGUAGCUAACCUGCCCUAUAGUCCGUCAUAACUUCGGGAAACUGAAGCUAAUAACGGAUAACUGACGAUUUCUGGAACGAUUUGUCGGUGAAAUUUACACGAUAGGAUGGGGCUGCGGCUGAUUAGGUAGUUGGCGGGGUAACUGCCCACCAAGCCGAUGAUCAGUAAGGGCCUUUAGCGAGGAAGCCCUGAGAGGGAGUCUGAGACACUACUCCCAGCCCUACGGGGUGCAGCAGUCGGGAAAAUUCUGCAAUGUACGAAAGUAUGACAGAGCAAGCCAAAGUGCCCAACUUCGUGUUGGGCUUUUGUGUGCUGUAAAAAGGCACACGAAUAAGGACUGGGCAAGACUGGUGCCAGCCGCCGCGGUAAUCCCAGCAGUCCAAGUCGCAGCCACAUUUGUUGGGUCUAAAACAUCCGUAGCUUGCCUUACAAGUCUUUUGUGAAAUCGGGACUCUUAAGGUUCCGGCGGGCAAAAGAUACUGUUUGGCUAGAGACCGGUAGACGCAUCGAGUACAGAUAGGGUAGUGGUAAAAUACGUUGAUCCUUUCUGGACUAACAACAGCGAAGGCACGAUGCGAGCACGGUUCUGACAGUGAGGGAUGAAGGCUAGGGGCGCAAAGUGGAUUAGAUACCCAUGUAGUCCUAGCAGUAAACACUGCACACUAAACAUUAGUGCCUCUUCGAGAGGCAUUAGUGCUGUAGGGAAGCCGGAGAGUGUGCUACCUGGGAAGUAUAGUCGCAAGACCGAAACUUAAAGGAAUUGGCGGGGGGGUACUACAACGAGUGACGCGUGCGGUUCAAUCAGAUACUACACCGUGAACCUCACCAGGACCGACAGCAGAAUGAAGGUCAGUCUAAAGGGCUUACCUGACACGCUGAGAGGAGAUGCAGGGCCGACGUCAGCCUGUGUCGUGAGAUGACCUGUUAAAUCAGGUAACAGGCGAGACCCGUGUGUACAUUUGCAAUUGCUCAAUGUACCGACUGCCUUGGUAACAAGGAGGAAGGUGCGGGCUACGUUAGGUGGACCGUCCCAAAUGUCCUGGGCUACACGCGCGCGGCAAUGCUGCAAUCAAAGGGCUGCGACCCCGAGAGGGGAAGCUAAUCUCAUAAACUGCAGCUUAGUUCAGAUUGAGGGUUGCAACUCACCCUCAUGACGCUGGAAUUCGUAGUAAUCGGAUUUUAUCAGAGUCCGGUGAAUACGUCAAUGCCCCUUGCACACACCGCCCGUCAAACCAACCGAGUUUUGCAUUGGUGAGGCCUAUACAGGACGAAUCUUUGUAAGACAAGGUAGGUUAAGUCGGCACAAGGUA